CCUACGGGUGGCAGCAGUGAGGAAUAUUGGUCAAUGGGCUUACGCCUGAACCAGCCAAGUCGCGUGAGGGAAGACUGCCCUAUGGGUUGUAAACCUCUUUUGUCAGGGAGCAACGCCGGCUACGUGUAGUCGGACUGAGAGUACCUGAAGAAAAAGCAUCGGCUAACUCCGUGCCAGCGGCCGCGGUAAUACGUAGGGGGCAAGCGUUAUCCGGAUUUACUGGGUGUAAAGGGGGCGCAGACGGCGAUGCAAGCCAGGAGUGAAAGCCCGGGGCCCAACCCCGGGACUGCUGUUGGAACUGCGUGGCUGGAGUGCAGGAGGGGCAGGCGGAAUUCCUGGUGUAGCGGUGAAAUGCGUAGAUAUCAGGAGGAACACCGGUGGCGAAGGCGGCCUGCUGGACUGCAACUGACGUUGAGGCCCGAAAGCGUGGGGAGCAAACAGGAUUAGAUACCCCUGUAGUC
rnacentral:rRNA from 1 species